rnacentral:rRNA from 1 species
GGUUGAUCCUGCCAGUAGUCAUAUGCUUGUCUCAAAGAUUAAGCCAUGCAUGUCUAAGUAUAAAUAAAUUUAUAUUGUGAAACUGCGAAUGGCUCAUUAAAUCAGUUAUGAUCUACGUGACAUAUUCUUUACUACUUGGAUAACCGUGGUAAUUCUAGAGCUAAUACAUGCAAAAAAACCCUGACUUCGGAAGGGGUGCACUUAUUAGAUAAAACCAACGCGGGGUAAAACCUGUUUUCUUGGUGAUUCAUAAUAAUUAAGCGGAUCGCAUGGCCUUGUGCUAGC